rnacentral:rRNA from 1 species
GUACGGGAGGCAGCAGUGGGGAAUCUUGCGCAAUGGGCGAAAGCCUGACGCAGCGACGCCGCGUGAGUGAUGAAGGCCUUCGGGUUGUAAAGCUCUGUGGGGAGGGACGAAUAAGUGCAGCCUAAUACGUUGCAUGAUGACGGUACCUCCUUAGCAAGCACCGGCUAACUCUGUGCCAGCAGCCGCGGUAAGACAGAGGGUGCAAACGUUGUUCGGAAUUACUGGGCGUAAAGCGUGUGUAGGCGGUCCACUAAGUCGGGUGUGAAAGCCCUGGGCUCAACCCAGGAAGUGCACUCGAAACUGGCGGGCUAGAGUAUCGGAGAGGUUGGUGGAAUUCUCGGUGUAGAGGUGAAAUUCGUAGAUAUCGAGAGGAACACCGGUGGCGAAGGCGGCCAACUGGACGAAUACUGACGCUGAGACACGAAAGCGUGGGGAGCAAACAGGAUUAGAUACCCCGGU